rnacentral:rRNA from 1 species
UACGUAGGUGGCAAGCGUUGUCCGGAUUUAUUGGGCGUAAAGCGAGCGCAGGCGGAAAGAUAAGUCUGAUGUGAAAGCCCCCGGCUUAACCGGUAUAGGCUCUGGAAACUGGCGGGCUAGAGAGCAGGAGAGGGCGGUGGAACUCCAUGUGUAGCGGUAAAAUGCGUAGAUAUAUGGAAGAACACCAGUGGCGAAGGCGGCCGCCUGGCCUGUUACUGACGCUGAGGCACGAGAGCGUGGGUAGCGAACAGG